UGAGUACGAGAUGCUACGGCAUCGAAGCAGUCUAUGUCAUACUUCCAAGAAAAGCUUGCACUGUCAUAAACAAAGAACGCCUGUACCAUAACCGACACAGGUGGGUAGGUAGAGUAUACUAAGGGGCGCGAGAUAACUCUCUCUAAGGAACUCGGCAAAAUGACUCCGUAACUUCGGGAGAAGGAGUGCCUUAUUUCUAAGGUUGCAAUAACAAGAUCCAAGCAACUGUUUACCAAAAACACAGGUCUCCGCUAAGUCGUAAGACGAUGUAUGGGGGCUGACGCCUGCCCAGUGCCAGAAGGUUAAAGAAGUUGGUUAGCAUUAGCGAAGCUGAUAACUGAAGCCCUGGUGAACGGCGGCCGUAACGAUAACGGUCCUAAGGUAGCGAAAUUCCUUGUCGGGUAAGUUCCGACCCGCACGAAAGGCGUAAUGAUUUGGAUACUGUCUCGGAGAGGGGCUCGGUGAAAUAGACUUGUCUGUGAAGAUGCGGACUACCUGCACCUGGACAGAAAGACCCUAUGAAGCUUUACUGUAACUUGAGAUUGAAAUUGGACUUUAUUUGCGCAGUAUAGGUGGGAGGCGUUGAGAAUAAUCUUGCGGGAUUGUUGGAGCCAUCAGUGAGAUACCACUCUUGUAAUGUUAGAUUUCUAACUUUGUAUCAUUAUCUGGUCAAAGAACAGUUUCAGGCGGGCAGUUUGACUGGGGCGGUCGCCUCCCAAAGGGUAACGGAGGCGCACAAAGGUUUCCUCUGAACGGGUAGAAAUCGUAUCUAGAGUGUAAAGGCAUACGGAAGCUUGACUGUGAGACCUACAAGUCGAGCAGGGACGAAAGUCGGUCUUAGUGAUCUGACGGUGCUGAGUGGAAAGGCCGUCACUCAACGGAUAAAAGUUACUCUAGGAUAACAGGCUGAUCUCCCCCAAGAGUUCACAUCGACGGGGAGGUUUGGCACCUCGAUGUCGGCUCAUCGCAUCCUGGGGCGGUAGUCCGUCCCAAGGGUUGGGCUGUUCGCCCAUGAAAGCGGUACGCGAGCUGGGUUCAGAACGUCGUGAGACAGUUCGGUCCAUAUCCGGUGUAGGCGUUAGAAUAUUGAGAGGAGCCUUCUCUAGUACGAGAGGACCGAGAAGGACAUACCUCUGGUGUACCAGUUAUCGUGCCAACGGUAAACGCUGGGUAGCUAUGCAUGGAGUGGAUAACCGCUGAAAGCAUCUAAGUGGGAAGCCCACCUCAAGAUAAG
rnacentral:rRNA from 1 species